ensembl:lncRNA
GUCGUCCUCAAAAACGUCUUCCUGUGGGCUGAUGGAGCCUGCUGAGCGUUUUUUUUUCUGGAGAGCCAGCCGAAUAUUUAACAGAUCGCUGUUUGAAUAAUUCAUGGCUUGAGUGAAACGCACCCUUAAAAAAAGAGGAAAUGACAGAAGACAGAUGGGGAAAAAAUCAAUUCUACACAAAGACCAAUUGGAGGGCUGGACGCAAGGAAGCACACGGAGAAGGAAGUCGUUAUUACUAAAAGAUGCAGAUUAUUAGAAGAUGGAGCAAUAAUUGUUUGUGAUGCAGAAAAUAAUAUUCCUGAGUCAGUUUUCAUGUGCUGUUACUUUGGCCCUUCAGAGGCUUCCACGCUUCAUUCCGUUAUUCCUUAUGUUCCUCUUACAUUAUGAUACUGUAGAUGAACAGCAAUGCAUCACCUUACAUCAGAUCCUCACAUGUUGGUCCAGCAACAUUUCUAAUAAAAAGUAAAUAUUUC